rnacentral:lncRNA from 1 species
UCAAGGCGCUCGAAGAGCAAGAGGAAGAAGACUUCUCCUUGCGUUCGUCAGCCUCUAGAAUGGCUCAACAAAAGGACCAUCACGCAAUCAUGGAAAUGCGGGGUUGAGACUUCAGCUGUUCGCAGGCUGGCGCUGGUAUGUACAAACAAUGCCGCUGCAUACGAAUGAUGCUACUAUGCUUGCGUGUUUUCUUCCUGACCAUGCGCUGCAUUCCAAGCCAAAUUCUCAAAAGGCCAUACUGUGGCUUUGUCCUCUUGACCUGUCACAGCACACAAGAUCACUCAGAACCAGUCGUCAAGAUCAGGAAAAGGGAAGUCCCUUCCAGUGGAGGAAGCAGUUGAGCUUCCUCCACCGACAAAAAUUAGACUGUCGCAGGCAUGCCCAUUACCCACAUCUGCUGCUCGAGUGCCGUUAGCAAGUGGAUGUACAACGGAUAUGUAGUUUAGUUCUUUUUUGUGAUAGAGAGUAGGUAUUUGUAGGCUCUGUCCUUUGUGGUUUGUAAGGCAGUAGCAAGUUCGCAUCAAAAAAUAAAAGUACUUUUUUUUUGUCUGAAACAACUGUCUCUCAGUGUCAGUGGGACACAUAUGUCCCACUUUUUUCUCGAAAACCCUUUGAUAGAGAGCUCAAAUUUUGUACAUAUUAUAAGAAGCUGAUAGAAAUGACAAUGCCGCCUUCAAUAGGUAGCGUGUGUUGUUCGUAACAUUAUGCCCCAUAAAGCGUUAAGUGGCAAUGGCUGAAGGGAAAGACAGCAUCAGGUAUGGUGCUACGAUUGAACUCUAGAGAAAGAAGUGAGCCCUGCCAGCAAACGUUCAUUAGCAUGUGAUAAAUAUCUAAAGAUAUUAUGCAGUGUAGCAUACAAUUGUGCAAAAGCAGCUUUUAUUAGUAUUUUGCAAAGCACAUAAUAAAUAUAGAAGGGAAACAUAAUUAUGUUUUAAUUAGUAGGUACGUGACAG